rnacentral:misc_RNA from 1 species
AACCCCUGUGACAUACCACUUUGUUGCCUUCGGCGGAUCAGCCCGCUUCCCCGGUAAAACGGGACGGCCCGCCAGAGGACCCCUAAACUCUGUUUCUAUAUGUAACUUCUGAGUAAAACCAUAAAUAAAUCAAAACUUUCAACAACGGAUCUCUUGGUUCUGGCAUCGAUGAAGAACGCAGCAGAAGGAGCAUACGAAAUUUCACCCCACCCCUGGUGAAAUACUUUUUUGCUCGGGAACCCCCUCGUUAAAAAGGGAGGCCCCCAGGCCCAAACUCUUU